UCGUAACAAGGUUUCCGUAGGUGAACCUGCGGAAGGAUCAUUACUGAGUGCGGGCUGCCUCCGGGCGCCCAACCUCCCACCCGUGAAUACCUAACACUGUUGCUUCGGCGGGGAACCCCCUCGGGGGCGAGCCGCCGGGGACUACUGAACUUCAUGCCUGAGAGUGAUGCAGUCUGAGUCUGAAUAUAAAAUCAGUCAAAACUUUCAACAAUGGAUCUCUUGGUUCCGGCAUCGAUGAAGAACGCAGCGAACUGCGAUAAGUAAUGUGAAUUGCAGAAUUCAGUGAAUCAUCGAGUCUUUGAACGCACAUUGCGCCCCCUGGCAUUCCGGGGGGCAUGCCUGUCCGAGCGUCAUUGCUGCCCAUCAAGCCCGGCUUGUGUGUUGGGUCGUCGUCCCCCCCGGGGGACGGGCCCGAAAGGCAGCGGCGGCACCGUGUCCGGUCCUCGAGCGUAUGGGGCUUUGUCACCCGCUCGACUAGGGCCGGCCGGGCGCCAGCCGACGUCUCCAACCAUUUUUCUUCAGGUUGACCUCGGAUCAGGUAGGGAUACCCGCUGAACCUAAGCAUAUCAU
rnacentral:misc_RNA from 1 species